UACGUAGGGGGCUAGCGUUGUCCGGAAUCACUGGGCGUAAAGGGCGCGUAGGCGGCCAUUCAAGUCGGAGGUGAAAGCCCAGGGCUCAACCCUGGAAUUGCCUUCGAUACUGUCUGGCUAGAGACCGGAAGAGGUAAGUGGAACUGCGAGUGUAGAGGUGAAAUUCGUAGAUAUUCGCAAGAACACCAGUGGCGAAGGCGGCUUACUGGUCCGGUUCUGACGCUGAGGCGCGAAAGCGUGGGGAGCAAACAGG
rnacentral:rRNA from 1 species